rnacentral:tRNA from 1 species
GAGGGUAUAGCCCAGUGGUAGAGCACAUGCUUAGCAUGCACAAGGUCAUGGGUUCAAUCCCCUGUACCUCCA